AUACCUUUCUCGGCCCUUUGGAUAAGAUCAAGUGUAGUAUCUGUUCUAAUCAGUUUAAUAUCCACAGUCAAUAUCGAAAUGGAUCGGCUCAUACUUCAAUCCGGAUAGCAAAAUUCAUGUCAAUGAUAUUAUAAACAUUUCCUCCCUAUCAUCAAGGUGUCGUGGUGUAGUUGGUUAUCACGUCAGUCUAACACACU